CAGAGGGUUAUUAUUUCUUUUGGCUGUCCCUAAAGGAUCCUAGAUCUGUGGCAGGAGAGGAAAGUUCAGCCCAGCUAAGAUUGCAUCACUGGAGCGGCCAAUAUGGCUUGAAGGCGAGCGCUCCUGGAGCUGUUCCAGCGGUCGAUGGACGUCGUUCCUAGGCCGGCACAGAACGCAGCAGGUAGCCUAGCACCUGGAUCACAGUUGGAGGGGCAUUGCUGGGGGUCAUGCUGAGCACAUUGGCAGGGAGUGGGUGGCGGCCGAAAGCUGCCUGCUCUGUGCGCUGAAUCGCCAGCACCAUUCUCCUGACAUGAGACAACUCCCCCGACCUUCUCUCCAGCCUGGGGCCUUCGACAGAACCCCCUGGCAUCAUCCCACACCCCCGUCCGGCCCAGCCCAGCCCCUUCCAUCCGCUGUGCAAACAGCCCUGCCACCAGCGCAGGGAAAUCCCCGCUCGAGAGCGAGGCCCACAGAGGGGAAGUGACUCACCCGAGGUCAGUGCUAGAGCUGGGAACAGGCCGCGGGAGGCCCGAUUCCCACCCCGAGCCUGAGCCUCCAGCCCGGGCAGCCGCUGCCUCCACGCAACGCUCUCGCUCCGCUGUGGUCUGUGCCCACGCCCCUCUCACAACGGCAUCCCCCAUAAAUCACUUGGCCGCUCAGCAGAGCACUGUCACGGGGCAGGUCUGCG